rnacentral:rRNA from 1 species
AUUGAACGCUGGCGGCAGGCCUAACACAUGCAAGUCGAGCGGAUGAAGGGAGCUUGCUCCUGGAUUCAGCGGCGGACGGGUGAGUAAUGCCUAGGAAUCUGCCUGGUAGUGGGGGAUAACGUCCGGAAACGGGCGCUAAUACCGCAUACGUCCUGCGGGAGAAAGUGGGGGAUCUUCGGACCUCACGCUAUCAGAUGAGCCUAGGUCGGAUUAGCUAGUUGGUGGGGUAAAGGCCUACCAAGGCGACGAUCCGUAACUGGUCUGAGAGGAUGGUCAGUCACACUGGAACUGAGACACGGUCCAGACUCCUACGGGAGGCAGCAGUGGGGAAUACUGGACAAUGGGCGAAAGCCUGAUCCAGCCAUGCCGCGUGUGUGAAGAAGGUCUUCGGAUUGUAAAGCACUUUAAGUUGGGAGGAAGGGCAGUAAGUUAAUACCUUGCUGUUUUGACGUUACCAACAGAAUAAGCACCGGCUAACUUCGUG